GAUGAACGCUGGCGGCGUGCCUAAUACAUGCAAGUCGAGCGAACGGACGAGAAUCUUGCUUCUCUGAUGUUAGCGGCUGACGGGUGAGUAACACGUGGAUAACCUACCUAUUAUACUUGGAUAACUUCGGGAAACCGUCGCUAAUACCGGAUAAUAUUUUGAACCGCAUGGUUCAAAAGUUUAUGACGGUCUUUCUGUCUCUUCUAGAUGUUUCCUCGCUGCAUUAGCUAGUUGGUAAGGUAACGGCUUACCAAGGCAACGAUGCAUAGCCGACCUGAGAGGGUGAGCGGCGACACGGGAAGUGAGACACGGACAAGAGUCCUACGGGAGGCAGCAGAAGGGAAGAUUACGCAAUGGGCGAAAGCAUGACGGAGCAACGCCGCGUGAGUGAAGAAGGACUUCGGAUCGUAAAACUCUGUUAUGAGGGAAGAACAUAUGUGUAAGUAAAUGAGCACAGCGUGACGGUAACUAAACAGAAAGCAACGGCUAACUACGUG
rnacentral:rRNA from 1 species